rnacentral:rRNA from 1 species
AUAUAGUAAAUCUGCUCAUGAAUAUUAAAUAGCCGCAAUUUCGUGCUAAGGUAGCAUAAUAAUUUGUCUCCUAAAUGAAGACUAGAACAAAAGAUUUAACAUUUUAGUUUAUUUCUCUUUUAAUUAAUCAAAUUUAUCCUAAAAGUAAAAAGACUUUUAUUUAAUAGAAAGACGACAAGACCCUAUUGAACUUUACUUUAGUUGUACUGGGGCAGUGAAUCAAUUAUUAUUUUAAUUAAAUUAAAUAUAUAAAAAUCCAAUUAAUUGAUAAUUCAGUUACCAUAGGGAUAACAGCAUAAUUGUUUUUUAAAGAACUUAUUAAAAAAAUAGAUUGUGACCUCGAUGUUGAAUUAAUAACCUAAUUAAAGCAAAAGUUAAAUAAGGAAGUCUGUUCGACUUUUAAAAAAUUACAUGAUCUGAGUUCCAAACCGGAGAGU